rnacentral:piRNA from 1 species
UAACACAGGCUUUAGGCUGGCUUAUGCCUC